GGCUCAGGACGAACGCUGGCGGCGUGCUUCAUACAUGCAAGUCGAACGAGAAGCUGACUUCGGUCAGUGGAAAGUGGCGGACGGGUGAGUAACACGUAGGAAAUCUGCCCUUUGGAGGGGGACAACAGUUGGAAACGACUGCUAAUACCCCAUAUGAGCUAAGUUGAAAUACUUAUCUUGAAAACUCCGGUGCCAAAGGAUGAGCCUGCGCCUGAUUAGCUUGUUGGUGGUGUAAUGGACUACCAAGGCGACGAUCAGUAGCUGGUUUGAGAGGAUGAUCAGCCACAAUGGGACUGAGACACGGCCCAUACUCCUACGGGAGGCAGCAGUAGGGUAAUUUUGCGCAAUGGGACGAAAGCCCUGACGCAGCAACGCCGCGUGAUUGAUGAACGCCCGUUCGGGGUAGUAAAGAUCUGUCAGGUGGGGAACGUAAAUUUGACCGGUACCCAACAAAGGAAGCACCGGCUAACUCCGUGCCAGCCGCCGC
rnacentral:rRNA from 1 species